UACGAAGGGGGCUAGCGUUGCUCGGAAUCACUGGGCGUAAAGCGCACGUAGGCGGAUUGUUAAGUCAGGGGUGAAAUCCUGGAGCUCAACUCCAGAACUGCCUUUGAUACUGGCGAUCUCGAGUCCGGGAGAGGUGAGUGGAACUGCGAGUGUAGAGGUGAAAUUCGUAGAUAUUCGCAAGAACACCAGUGGCGAAGGCGGCUCACUGGCCCGGUACUGGAUGCUGACGGUGCGAAAGCGUGGGGAGCAAACAGG
rnacentral:rRNA from 1 species